rnacentral:lncRNA from 1 species
GCUAGCCCACUGUGGAACGGGGAAAGGUCACCAAAGAAACAACAUAGACAGCUUCGGCAUCAAAAGUUCGUCGGAGGAGAGGUGCAGCAUUUAUACUAGCACCCGCGUGCGCCAUCUUUGUUCCUAUUUAAAAGUGGAAUGAGAAGAGAGCGAGAGGGAGAAGUCCCAGUUGAUUGAUCCCUUGGGUCAGCCCGACCCUUUCUUUGAUGGAAGGUAAAGGUCAAUUUUUUAUUAUAGAGCCGUAUGCAAUGCACAAAAAUGCCCGUACGGUUGUUCAAUUCUAUCUUUUUUCUUGUUAUUCUUUAUCUUUCUUUCUUUUCUCUUCAUCAUUUAGGAGAGCCUACGGAUCUCUUUAAAGUAAAGUACAAUAUCGACUUGAAUGAAACUAUAGCACAGAGGAAUGCUAGCGAGCGCUCAUAUGCAAGAACAGGAGCUCGGACUCUUGUUGUAGUUCGAGCCUUAGAAGGAAGCAAGCGAAGGGAUAGGAAAGCAAGGCAUCCUAUAAGCACAGAGGUAAUAGGCAGGCAGUUAAUCGAUUUCAGUAUUCAAGAGAUCUCCUGCCCUUUCAUACUCGUAGACUUCUGU